AAAUUGAAGAGUUUGAUCAUGGCUCAGAUUGAACGCUGGCGGCAGGCCUAACACAUGCAAGUCGAACGGUAACAGGAAGCAGCUUGCUGCUUUGCUGACGAGUGGCGGACGGGUGAGUAAUGUCUGGGAAACUGCCUGAUGGAGGGGGAUAACUACUGGAAACGGUGGCUAAUACCGCAUAACGUCGCAAGACCAAAGAGGGGGACCUUCGGGCCUCUUGCCAUCAGAUGUGCCCAGAUGGGAUUAGCUGGUUGGUGAGGUAACGGCUCACCAAGGCGACGAUCCCUAGCUGGUCUGAGAGGAUGACCAGCCACACUGGAACUGAGACACGGUCCAGACUCCUACGGGAGGCAGCAGUGGGGAAUAUUGCACAAUGGGCGCAAGCCUGAUGCAGCCAUGCCGCGUGUAUGAAGAAGGCCUUCGGGUUGUAAAGUACUUUCAGCGGGGAGGAAGGUGUUGUGGUUAAUAACCACAGCAAUUGACGUUACCCGCAGAAGAAGCACCGGCUAACUCCGUGCCAGCAGCCGCGGUAAUACGGAGGGUGCAAGCGUUAAUCGGAAUUACUGGGCGUAAAGCGCACGCAGGCGGUCUGUCAAGUCGGAUGUGAAAUCCCCGGGCUCAACCUGGGAACUGCAUUCGAAACUGGCAGGCUUGAGUCUUGUAGAGGGGGGUAGAAUUCCAGGUGUAGCGGUGAAAUGCGUAGAGAUCUGGAGGAAUACCGGUGGCGAAGGCGGCCCCCUGGACAAAGACUGACGCUCAGGUGCGAAAGCGUGGGGAGCAAACAGGAUUAGAUACCCUGGUAGUCCACGCCGUAAACGAUGUCUACUUGGAGGUUGUGCCCUUGAGGCGUGGCUUCCGGAGCUAACGCGUUAAGUAGACCGCCUGGGGAGUACGGCCGCAAGGUUAAAACUCAAAUGAAUUGACGGGGGCCCGCACAAGCGGUGGAGCAUGUGGUUUAAUUCGAUGCAACGCGAAGAACCUUACCUGGUCUUGACAUCCACAGAAGAAUCCAGAGAUGGAUUUGUGCCUUCGGGAACUGUGAGACAGGUGCUGCAUGGCUGUCGUCAGCUCGUGUUGUGAAAUGUUGGGUUAAGUCCCGCAACGAGCGCAACCCUUAUCCUUUGUUGCCAGCGAUUAGGUCGGGAACUCAAAGGAGACUGCCAGUGAUAAACUGGAGGAAGGUGGGGAUGACGUCAAGUCAUCAUGGCCCUUACGACCAGGGCUACACACGUGCUACAAUGGCGCAUACAAAGAGAAGCGACCUCGCGAGAGCAAGCGGACCUCAUAAAGUGCGUCGUAGUCCGGAUUGGAGUCUGCAACUCGACUCCAUGAAGUCGGAAUCGCUAGUAAUCGUGGAUCAGAAUGCCACGGUGAAUACGUUCCCGGGCCUUGUACACACCGCCCGUCACACCAUGGGAGUGGGUUGCAAAAGAAGUAGGUAGCUUAACCUUCGGGAGGGCGCUUACCACUUUGUGAUUCAUGACUGGGGUGAAGUCGUAACAAGGUAACCGUAGGGGAACCUGCGGUUGGAUCACCUCCUUACCUGAAAGAAGC
rnacentral:rRNA from 3 species